rnacentral:lncRNA from 1 species
CCUACAUUUCCCUUGCUUUAGAACACUGUUCUCUGCUCCUGGGUUUUUCCUGCAGGGAUUGACCAGAAGCCUGGUCCCCAUACUUCUGCAGAAGGUGCACACAUAAAGGCUCUGGGCCUUGUUAACAGAAGCAUACUACAUUGGACUUCCACGGCUUCAUAUCUGAUGUUAGAUGGCAAAGCAGAACAACAGUUUCACCUGUGUGUAAAAGCAGAGAUGGCUUCUUCCAGGAUCAAAACCAGGGCCAGACACACAAGAGCUCAAGCCCUUCACCAGAUAUAGAGAAAGAAAAAAAAAAUCAACAUUUAAGGAAGAUCUAUGGGUGAUUUGAGUGCAUA